rnacentral:tRNA from 1 species
GCCGGAGUGGUGGAAUUGGUAGACGCGCUGGACUCAAAAUCCAGUGAGGGUUAACCUCGUGUCGGUUCGAGUCCGACCUCCGGUA